GAUCGCUGAGGUAUUGACGUGGAUUCAAUUGAAACUUAAGGCAAUUGGUUUUAUCCAAAUUAAAAAAGGGUUGUUUUACGUUUAACGUUGUUUUAUCUCCAAAAUUAUUACAAGAAAUAUUCUACUGAUGCAAUAAACAUUUAUGACUAUGACUACUAUAAUAACUUGACUGUCUUUUAUUAUUAUAAAGCCAUUUUAUAUGAUACUAUUAUUCAACUUUAAGAUAAUACAUAGCUGACUUAUCAACUUGGAAAGGUAUCAACAACUCGGAAAGCUAGCCUAUCUACCGCGAGGCGAGGCGUUUACGUUACGGUGCGGAUAAAGUGUGCGUUGCAGUAUGGAGUUUCAUACAAUGAAUACUGACUGCCUCGGGUUGAUAGGGUUACGAUCCCUUUCCGGGUUGAUAAGUGUGCCACGUCCUUUAUUAAUUAAGCUGCCUAUACAAUUAUAUUUUUAUUUACAGUAUUCAAGAUACCUAGUAUUCACGGAAAGAGGGACAUGCUUAUGGUGAACAGUUUCACUUACUCACAGUACUUACCCAACUAUUAUUAUUGCACUAAAAAGAGACUCGGAUGCAAAGCGAAACUACGCACUCACAAGGAUCAGCAGACUCUAAUUUAUUUGUUCGAGGAACACAACCACGAACCCCCGGAGUACCAUGUUACUUCAGAUGGGAGAUUCAUCAAAGUAAAAUAAAUUAGUCCGAACCUCUUCAAUGUGAGAGUGAUUAGGCACUCACAGGGAGUGUUCAAGAUACCCAGUAUUUACGGAAAGAGGGACAUGCUUAUGGUGAACAGCUUCACUUACUCACAGUACAAACCCAGUUAUUAUUAUUGCACUAAAAAAAGACUCGGGUGCAAAGCGAAAGUGCGCACCGACCAAUAUCUGAAUCUGACUUAUUUGUUCGAAGAACACAACCACGAGCCCCCGAAGUACCGUAUCACUUCAGAUGGGAAAUUCGUCAAAAUAAAUAGUUAUUAAAUUAAUCCGGACCUCUUCAAGGCGAGAGUGAAUAGGCACUUACAGGGCAGUGUUCAUUAUACCCAGUAUUCAUGGGAAGAAGGAUGUGCUAAUGGUGAACGGUUUCACUUACUCACAGCACAAACCGGGUUAUUAUUAUUGCAUUAAGAAGAGACUCGGGUGCAAAGGGAAACUGCGCACCGACCAGGAUCUGAACCUGACUUAUUUGUUCGAGGAACACAACCACGAACCCCCGGAGUACCAUGUUACUUCAGAUGGGAAAUUCAUCAAAGUAAACUAAAUUAGCUUGUCCAGCAGUGGACGUCUGCUGAAACGAACGAACGAAAACUAAAUUACUCCGAACCUCUUCAAUGUGAGAGUGAAUAGGCACUUACAGGGCAGGUAUGUACCAGCCUACACUGUAUCUCACUUAUCGUCAUGUAUGAUUGCAGUCAAAUACCUGCUUUGUGGUGCAUAAAAAAAUAAAAUAUGCCUUUGAUUAUGCCUUUUGCCCCAAAAAAAAUAAGUAUUUCAUCCAAAUCUUUAUGUAUUUUUGAUCAUACUCAGAUAUUGUUGAAUUAUAUAAAACUUCAUCUUUUCAUCUUUUGUGUACUUUUCAUAUUUUGAUUUAUUGCUUCCAAUAACGCUUCAGCUUAGCCGUACUAAUUCAACCUGUAAAUCUUAUUCUUUUCUACACAGGACAGGCAAUGCCUAGUGUGGAGGUCUGUCUUUUAGUUAUUGUAUUGUUUGAU